CCUACGGGGGGCAGCAGUGGGGAAUAUUGGGCAAUGGGCGCAAGCCUGACCCAGCAACGCCGCGUGAAGGAAGGAGGCUUUCGGGUUGUAAACUUCUUUUAAGAGGGAAGAGCAGAAGACGGUACCUCUUGAAUAAGCCACGGCUAACUACGUGCCAGAAGCCGCGGUAAUACGUGGGUGGCAAGCGUUGUCCGGAUUUACUGGGUGUAAAGGGCGUGUAGCCGGGCUGACAGGUCAGAUUGGAAAUUCCGGGGCUCAAGGCCGGACCUGCAUUUGAAACUGUUGGUCUUGAGUAUCGGGGAGGCAGGUGGAAUGCCUAGUGUAGCGGUGAAAUGCGUAGAUAUUAGGAGGAACACCAGUGGCGAAGGCGGCCUGCUGGACGACAACUGACGGUGAGGCGCGAAAGCGUGGGGAGCAAACAGGAUUAGAUACCCUAGUAGUC
rnacentral:rRNA from 1 species